AGCGAACGCUGGCGGCAGGCCUAGCACAUGCCAGUCGAACGAACCUUUCGGGGUUAGUGGCGGACGGGUGAGUAACACGUGGGAACGUGCCUUUAGGUUCGGAAUAACUCAGGGAAACUUGUGCUAAUACCGAAUGUGCCCUUCGGGGGAAAGAUUUAUCGCCUUUAGAGCGGCCCGCGUCUGAUUAGCUAGUUGGUUGAGGUAAUGGCUCACCAAGGCGACGAUCAGUAGCUGGUCUGAGAGGAUGAUCAGCCACAUUGGGACUGAGACACGGCCCAAACUCCUACGGGAGGCAGCAGUGGGGAAUCUUGCGCAAUGGGCGAAAGCCUGACGCAGCCAUGCCGCGUGAAUGAUGAAGGUCUUAGGAUUGUAAAAUUCUUUCACCGGGGACGAUAAUGACGGUACCCGGAGAAGAAGCCCCGGCUAACUUCGUG
rnacentral:rRNA from 1 species